GGACAGGCAGCAAGAAGACGUUGAUGACGCCACACGGGGAUAGGGGCAGCAACAAGACGUUGAUGACGCCACACGGGGAUAGGGGCAGCAAGAACUUGCCCACGAGUAGAUUAGAUCGUGCCCGAAAUUUGAUCCCUUGCAAAUCUUGGCCGUGGUCACCCAUCGCCGGCCCUCACUCCAAUCACACCGAGAAACCGAGCCUCAGUGCUGUUCUAAGAUUUUUGCGGCAUCAGACGGGCCCCACGGUCAUUCCCGGAGGACGUCGGACACGCCGCCGCCGGGACAUACCUCAUCCGCGCACCUUGCCUUCAUCCUCAUUCAGUACAUGUGGUGCGCAACUCUCAUUUCCUCUUUCUCAAAAAGGAAACCAUCUCCGUGGUAAUUAUUGAGGAUGUUGUUUCGUACAUGGUGUUGUAUUAGCGAUCCAUUUGGAUACAGAGUACAUUGAAACGGCAAAAGAUGAUUUAAGUAUUAUGAUUCUCAGGUUUCAGUUUUUGCACUGAUUGUCUAUAAUUGUACACAACUCUGGGGACAUAAUGGAGUAACUUUACAUUAUACAAACAAUUGCCGAAUAUAUCUUGAUUCUGAAUAAUGGCCACAAACAGAUGGACUAUAAGCAUAUGAUUUAUGUUUCUCCCAAUUGGUCCCCAAUUUUUCACAGUGUGUUCUGCAAUGGCCACGUCUGUUGCAAGUACAUAGGAGAUUUAUGUCUAUGGAAUUUAGAGGACCAUGUGUAUUUUUGUAGCCAAGAAUUAGCUUAUAAAAAUCUUCAUUAUGGAAAUAAAGUUCAUGGCUGUGAAAUCAUGCAUUUGCAAGCAUCUGAACCAGAUGCAAUUCCGAUCUUUGCACUCAUGCGAUUUUUUUUAUUUUUCUUGCUUAUGCACUUUCAAGGUUCAUAUUUCGAGUCUACACUGCAUACAUGAUUUAGCUUACCCUCUUAUAUGGAUCUUUUGAUGCUUUAUGUUUUUUCAGGAUUAGUAAUUGGUGGAUAGAUCAACCUCUUGCCCACCUAAUAUAUGGAGUCUUACUUGUGUCUGCUUUCACGAGGUGUGUAAGAAUCACAUUUACCAUCCUUCUCAUAUGAAACACCGGAGUAACAUAUUUCUUGCGUUGAGCAACUUAAGUUUUCUAGCAAAUUGAGUAUUCUAUAUAUAGCUGUUAAAUACUCCUUCCGUUUCAAAAUAAGUGACUUAAAAAUGACUCAACUUUAUACUAACUUUAGUACAAAGUUGAGUCAUUUCUAAGUCACUUAUUUUAAGAUGGAGGAAGUACAAUUUAACCAUGAUCAUUAUUAUUUUAAUAUUGUAUUGAGGGCUCCGGCCCCGAAAUCUCAAGGACGGCCCUGGACGCUCCGUGGAAAAUGAGCUAGUUAAUGGCAGUAAUUAAUUAAGGUGAGUUAAAAAAGCAUGGUUGUCCAUUUCAGGCGCUGCCUGCUCACGACUUGACCUCAAGAAUGUGGGUUGACGAUUCUAGACUCCUGUUCAUACGAUGAACCAAAAUUUCAGCAAAGAAAUUGGUCCUGGCUAGCUAGCUUGAUUAAAGUAUAGAUGAAUCAGUCAAUUGGUGAGUAGUUGCACUAACUUGUUACCAACUGGUUUGACUUGGGAUAUAAAAAAAAACUGGUUUGACUUGAUGUCACCAAGUAGGAAAUUAGAAGCAAAUUACCACCGUAAAAUUGAUGAACUCUGUUCCGCCUGAGUUCAACCUUAAUUAGUUACUACUGCCUCCAUUUUUAAAUAUAAAACGUUUUGGUAGGCUAAGCAUGCAGUGCAUUGAUUGAUCUCACCGGUAUCGAUUAAGAGGUUGUUUGGAUACGUUUUAGUCCCAUGACUAAAAGUAGUGGGACUAAAAUUUGCUAGCCUCACCCAUGCUUGAAUCCAAAUACUAAAGAGGCUGAAAUCAAGUUAAUGAUCAUCUAUUAUCCUUCAAACCCUCAAAUCCAGAACUCGCAUGUGUUAAGAGGAGUUAAAUGAGGAGAGAAAGGACUAAUCCAUAUUUUAAUAGGGGUACCCCUGACUAAAAGAUUUUAGCCUCAAAACUAGUUUUAGCCUCUCGUUAGUCAGGGGUGGUUGAAACUUUAGCCUCUUAAAGACACUAUUUUUAAUCAGACUAGUUUUAGUCCCUUGAAUCCAAACACCCUCUAAUUCUUAGCCAGAGCUUGAAGCAUAAACAGCGCUGCCUCUUGGGAGGAGACAGGGACGGACACACAAGUUAUCACGCACAAUCAAACACUGUACUAACUCUGUAAAAAUGGCUGGUGAGUAAGUGGGACGUGUGUUUGGUGUUGAACUUCUGUUCCUUUAUUUUUCAUAAUGAAACCCAGGGUUUGACUCAUACGGGAUGUUGAAGUGUAUAUGUGGAUUAACUAGCCCUUUUAAUUGGUUUAGACUUUUAAUUGCAUUAGCUAGUGCAUGAAGCUUAACAUGAUAUCAGAACCUAGGUCAUUAAUAUAAUAUUUUCCAUUAAUAUACGAUUCAGUGAAACCUGACCCAAAAGACGAACGAAUCAUUUGUCGACCCAGACGUUCCAAAAGUCCCAAGACAUUCGAUGGCACACAUUUAUUUCAAAUACCUCUUUUCUUCAAUCUGAAAUAUUUUUACUAAGAAGAAGAAAAAAACGAAAUAUUCCUACUCAAAAGAAAAGAACGACGAGGUUGCGACAGACUUAUCGGAUGUUUUGAAACAUUCAAUAUGAAAUAUGUUUACUAAAAUAACAAUACAGGGUGAAAAGUGCAAAACAUAUUAGGGAAGGAUAAAAUGGGAUAUGCAGAAUUGGUGAGGGUGACUUGAGAAGUGAGCAUUGUGAGUCAUUCGAUCUUUCCACGUCUGUCAAUCUGUUGUGUUGGUUGGUUGCUGCCUAUCCAUCUUCCACAACACCACUAGGUCUAUUGUAUCCACGUGCGUGAAUUGGCCACCUCACAUGCACAAACAUAUGCACACGGCUAAACUGCAAGUUUUAGCUAGUGUAGAGAGAUAGGGAUAUGAACGAAUGACUGAAUGGAUCCAUCUUUUCCGACUGUUGGGAGGGCCACAUCCACCACCAAUCUAAUCUUUUUGCAAUGCAAUCAUUCAUGCAACAGAUGAACAUAUAUACGUGUGGUUGCCAUGAAUCCUCAAAUGGAAAUCAAUAUCUCUCCCGGGAAAUUGGAACAAAAGAAACCACAUAGUAGCAUAAGCCAAAUCAGCCAAGAACAGACACAUAUUCAUAUACAAGUUACAGAAUAAUCAACGAUUGAUUAGUUAAUUGAAGAUAUACUAAAUAGUACUUCCUCCGUCCGAAAAUACUUGUAACAGGAAUGGAUGUAUCUAGAUGUAUUUUAGUUCUACAUACAUCUAUUUUUAUAAAUUGGUGCGACAAGUAAUUCCGGACGAAAGGAAUAUAUAUUGGCAAAAAGUACAUGGUAUCAGUACGCAUACAUAUAUGUUUAGUUGGAUGAAUAUAUAAUCAAUGGACAUGUAUGCCAAUCAUAAUUGGGUAGUUGAAGCUAGCUAGCGUGAGAUAUCUGGCUUGGGUGAUGAGCAGGUCAUGUUUUCGACGGAGAACUCCCAGUUGAGCUUGACGGAGUAGACAUUCAUGAUGCGUCGGCAUGUACUCCUCCAGUGCGGCAAGCAGCUGUCCUCGUGGGAGCAGCGGAGUGCAAUGUGAACCGUCAAUGUCUCUACUUCGCAGGGAAUGACCCCCCAACUCGAUGGAUCCGGACUGGUCGGAGUCGGAUCCGCCGCCCUCUAUGUUGGAGAUAGCUGGAGAUCGUCGGAGAUGAGGUAGGGUGGCGGAUGAAAGUGAAGGGAAGUGUAGUGAAGUGGUUAGGGUUUGGUCCGGCGAACUGACGAUGACGAAUAUAUGUAGGGUCAAUACGGGCCAGUGCGGGUCAAGCGGGGGUGCCCGGGCGCGCCCGGACUCCCCACAUGCGCCUCAUAUUUGGGCUUGAUAUGGGGGUGCCGAUCAGUCCGGACGUUUGAGGCCUGUUUAAAGGGUCCGGGUGGGUCGAUUUUUGUGACCGGUCGGUGACCGGACGCGUCCGGGCAUUUAAGACGGGUAUGAGGGGUCCAUCUGUAGAUGAUUUUAGGUGCUAAAUAUUUUCCACACUUGACUUUCUACUGAUUGAGUGGACAAAUUAACCAAACAAGAAAGGUCGACCUCAAGCCAGCCUUGAAUGUUUGUCCUGGUGUACAAUGCAUAGCCAGUGAAGCAAAUGUGGAUCCCAGUGAAUAAAAAAUAAUCUUGGCUAAUUAAGUGACUUCUCUUUCUAAAACAUAUAACAUACCGCUAUGUCUAUAUUACUAUCUAUCAUAUGCUCCAUCCAACAGACCAAACACUUGGUGAGAAAGAAGAAAAGAAAAGAAGGAAAGCUGCAGCUGCAGCUGGCUAUGUCUUUACUGGGAGAGGAGUUCCAGCGUGUAUGGUAACAUUCUAUUCCUGCUCUAUUAUUUGGCUGACUUGGCUGACUAGCAGCAUAUACAAGUAUACUAAUCAGACAAGUGGCGUCCUCCUAUGGGUUCCUAGUGUGUCUUCCAUAUUUUUGGAUCUCCCUAUCCAAUCGAUGCAAGCUAUGAUCUCACUCUUGUCUUUCUAGAGUGUUUUGGGGAAUCGUGUCAAACUACGCGGUUUCCCUCUGCUGUUUUUUGGUUAUACAAUCUGCCAAAAGAACAUGAAUUAAAUAAUCGUUGAUCAUGCAUGCUAAACAAGUUUUGCCACCCUCUUUGGCAAAUUAUGUAUACAAAGCAGUGGUCUCUGUCGGUUACGAAUGGUGUACUCCCUUCAUUCUUAAAUAUAAGUCUUUUUAAAGGUUUUGCUAACGGAUUACAUACGGAUGUAUAUGAACAUACUUUAGAGUGUAGAUUCACUCAUUUUGCUUCGUAUGUAGUCACUAAUGGAAUCUUUAAAAAAGCUUAUAUUUAGGAACGGAGGGAGUAUAUGUAUGCAUGCUUAGAAGCAUAAUUAUGAGGUUCUUAUGUUAGUGAUGUGUGUGCAAGCACGUCUGCAUUAAUAUAAAUUAAGUAAAAAAGUUACACUUUUUCACAAAUGGUACAAAUGGCACAUUCUGUGAUGCAAUCUUCGCAGACGGCCUUUAUGCCUGGUCGGAAUAUACUUGAAGGAGUGGUCGUUCUACAUGAAACCCUGCACGAAUUGCACUCCAAGAAGCUUAACGGAGUCCUUUUUAAGGUAGACUUUGAAAAGGCUUAUGAUAAGGUCAAAUGGUCUUUCUUGCAACAAACUCUACGUAUGAAGUGGUUUGGUGAGAUUUGGCGAAAACAUAUCGAUUGUUUUAUACAAAAGGGUAGUGUCGGUAUUAAAGUUAAUGAUGAUGUAGGUCAUUUCUUUCAGACACUCAAGGGACUUAGGCAAGGAGAUCCUAUGUCACCUAUUCUAUUUAACAUCGUAGUAGAUAUGUUGGCGUUAAUGAUCAGGAGGGCUAAUGACAAAGGGCUAGUAGGGGGCCUAGUGCCACACCUAGUAGAUGGGGGGGGGGGGUGGUCUCCAUCCUACAAUAUGCGGAUGACACAAUCCUUUUCAUGAAACACGAUCUCAAAAAAGCCAGAAACAUGAAGCUAAUUUUAUGCUUAUUCGAACAGCUAUCUGGGCUGAAGAUUAACUUCUAUAAAAGUGAACUCUUCUGUUUUGGGGACGCAAAAGCAGAACAACUCACAUAUAAUCAACUCUUUGGUUGUGAAGGGGGUACGUUGCCGUUUACGUACUUAGGGAUCCCUAUUCACCACCGAAAGUUAACUAUUAAGGACUGGAAGUGCAUCGAGGAUCGGUUUGAGAAAAAAUUGAGAUGCUGGAAGGGCAAGCUACUAUCCUAUGGAGGACGAUUGGUUUUAGUUAACUCAGUGUUGACAAGCAUGCCAAUGUUUCUUCUAUCCUUAUUUGAAGUACCAGUGGGGGUGCGAAAAAGGUUGGAUUUUUACCGAUCCCGAUUUUUCUGGCAGAGUGAUGAGAUCAAGACCAAAUAUAGGCUGGCUAGAUGGGAUAUUAUUUGUAGGCCAAAGGAUCAGGGAGGAUUGGGGAUUGAAAAUUUAGAGGUUAAGAACAGGUGUCUGCUCAGCAAGUGGCUUUUCAGACUCUCUGUGGAAUCAGAAGGUAUGUGGAUACAAAUUCUGAAGAACAAGUAUUUACAGCAAAAAACCUUAGCUCGGGUCACUUUGAGACCCGGAGAUUCACCUUUUUGGAAGGGUCUAAUGAGGACAAAAACGGUUUUUUUAACAGGACUAAAUUCAUCAUAGGUAAUGGUGAAUCUACUAGAUUCUGGAAGGAUAAUUGGCUAGGGGACGUGCCACUAGCUAUACAAUAUCCGCAGCUGUAUAAUAUUGCCCAGCGCAGACAGAUGUCUGUUGCGGCAGUGUUAGACUCCUCUCAACAUUCAGUUUCGCAGAUCCUUAGUUGGCAAUAGAUGGGGUAGAUGGCUACAUCUAGUCAGAAGGCUAAUGGAUGUUAGUCUUUCUGACGAUCCUGAUCGUAUUACUUGGAGACUGACCUCCAAUGGUACGUUCUCAGUGAAAUCAAUGUAUGACCAUAUUAUUGAUAAUUCAUUUAUUCCAAAAUCUACGCAUAUUUGGAACUUAAAGUUCCCCUUAAGUUAAAAAUAUUUUUUUGGUUUGUUCACAAAGGAGUUGUUUUAACUAAGGACAACUUGGCCAAGCAAAAUUGGAAGGGAAAUCGAAGGUGUAGCUUCUGUCAGUCGUAUGAAACAAUUAAGCACCUCUUUCUGGACUGCCCUAUGGCUAAAAUCUUAUGACGCUCAAUCCAUAUUGCUUUCAACAUCACCCCGCCUACUAGCAUUAACAUGUUAUUUGGGACGUGGCUGGACGGGGUUAAUGUUCCUUUCGCCAAACUAAUUCAAGUUGGAACAUCUUCACUUUUGUGGGCUAUAUGGAACUGCAGAAAUGACCUAGUUUUUAACAGACAACAUUGUAUUAAUUUUUUGCAGGUCACCUUCAGGGCUACCGCCUUGAUCCGCAUGUGGUCCUUACUCACUCCUGUGGAAACCAGGGAGCCAUUG
rnacentral:lncRNA from 1 species